rnacentral:rRNA from 1 species
CACGUAGGGCGCGAGCGUUGUCCGGAAUUAUUGGGCGUAAAGAGCUCGUAGGCGGCCUGUUGCGUCCGCUGUGAAAGCCCGGGGCUUAACCCCGGGUCGGCAGUGGAUACGGGCAGGCUAGAGGUAGGUAGGGGAGAAUGGAAUUCCCGGUGUAGCGGUGAAAUGCGUAGAUAUCAGGAGGAACACCUGUGGCGAAAGCGGCUCACUGGACCACAACUGACGCUGAGGCGCGAAAGCUAGGGGAGCAAACAGG